CAGCAGCCGCGGGAAUACGUAGGGUGCGAGCGUUAAUCGGAAUUACUGGGCGUAAAGCGUGCGCAGGCGGUUUUGUAAGACAGGCGUGAAAUCCCCGGGCUCAACCUGGGAAUGGCGCUUGUGACUGCAAAGCUAGAGUGCGGCAGAGGGGGGUGGAAUUCCACGUGUAGCAGUGAAAUGCGUAGAGAUGUGGAGGAACACCGAUGGCGAAGGCAGCCCCCUGGGCCAAUACUGACGCUCAUGCACGAAAGCGUAGGGAGCAAACAGGAUUAGAUACCCCCGUAGUCCCUGUCUCUUAUAC
rnacentral:rRNA from 1 species